rnacentral:rRNA from 1 species
CCUACGGGUGGCAGCAGUGGGGGAUAUUGCACAAUGGGGGGAACCCUGAUGCAGCGACGCCGCGUGGGUGAAGGAGUAUUUCGGUAUGUAAAGCCCUAUCGGCAGGGAAGAAGUUGGACGGUACCUGACUAAGAAGCCCCGGCUAACUACGUGCCAGCAGCCGCGGUAAUACGUAGGGGGCAAGCGUUAUCCGGAUUCACUGGGUGUAAAGGGAGCGUAGACGGCCAGGCAAGCCAGGGGUGAAAGCCCAGGGCCCAACCCCGGGACUGCUCUUGAAACUGCUGGGCUGGAGUGCGGGAGGGGCAGGCGGAAUUCCUGGUGUAGCGGUGAAAUGCGUAGAUAUCAGGAGGAACACCAGCGGCGAAGGCGGCCUGCUGGACAGCGACUGACGUUGAGGCUCGAAAGCGUGGGGAGCGAACAGGAUUAGAUACCCGAGUAGUC